rnacentral:rRNA from 1 species
CAAUCCGCUUUGAGAUGGCCUCGCGUCCGAUUAGCUAGUUGGUGAGGUAACGGCCCACCAAGGCGACGAUCGGUAGCCGGACUGAGAGGUUGAACGGCCACAUUGGGACUGAGACACGGCCCAGACUCCUACGGGAGGCAGCAGUGGGGAAUAUUGCACAAUGGGGGAAACCCUGAUGCAGCGACGCCGCGUGGAGGAAGAAGGUCUUCGGAUUGUAAACUCCUGUUGUUGAGGAAGAUAAUGACGGUACUCAACAAGGAAGUGACGGCUAACUACGUGCCAGCAGCCGCGGUAAAACGUAGGUCACAAGCGUUGUCCGGAAUUACUGGGUGUAAAGGGAGCGCAGGCGGGAAGACAAGUUGGAAGUGAAAUCCAUGGGCUCAACCCAUGAACUGCUUUCAAAACUGUUUUUCUUGAGUAGUGCAGAGGUAGGCGGGAUUCCCGGUGUAGCGGUGGAAUGCGUAGAUAUCGGGAGGAACACCAGUGGCGAAGGCGGCCUACUGGGCACCAACUGACGCUGAGGCUCGAAAGUGUGGGUAGCAAACAGGAUUAGAUACCCUGGUAGUCCACACUGUAAACGAUGAUUACUAGGUGUUGGAGGAUUGACCCCUUCAGUGCCGC